UUAACUCAAAUUUGUAUGGAAUUGGAACGUUUGCCGAACUUUGCCGCUAGGGGCGCUGUUCCAACUGUAUACAAAUUGAGUUA
rnacentral:pre_miRNA from 1 species